ACAGUCUCAGUUCGGAUUGAAGGCUGAAAUUCGCCUUCAUGAAGCCGGAAUUGCUAGUAAUGGCAGGUCAGCAUACUGCCGUGAAUACGUUCCCGGGCCUUGUACACACCGCCCGUCACACCAUGAGAGUUGGGGAUACCCGAAGCCUGUGAGCUAACUUUUAGAGGCAGCAGUCGAAGGUAGAAUCAAUGAUUGGGAUGAAGUCGUAACAAGGUAGC
rnacentral:rRNA from 1 species